UCUCCGUUGGUGAACCAGCGGAGGGAUCAUUACAGGAUCGAAAGACUCCUUUAACCCCUGUGAACUUACUACAAAUACGUUGCUUCGGCGGGUGCCCCGGGUCUCCCGGGGCGUUCAGCCCGCCGGCAGCCUUCAAAUUCUGUUUCUUUGCGUUGGCAUCUCGAGUAUACAAAAAUAAGUUAAAACUUUCAACAACGGAUCUCUUGGUUCUG
rnacentral:misc_RNA from 1 species